GAUGACCGCUAAAGCCCGACCGAUCGACGAUGUUCGAACUGACGUCCUAGCUGGAGUGUGCGCGCGCGCGGCGUGUUCCGCAGUGGUUCCGAGCGCGGCGCGUACCGUUCUGCGGGAACACGGCGACGAGGUGCAUCGGUACUACCGACGAAACCGAGGAAGAGAGAGAGAGAGAGGAGAACCAUCACCUCGACGCGAUCGUUCGGACAGCGCGGUGGUGGGGUGCUUGUCUUGCAGCGCCGGCGCUGCAUCGACCCAUCUCGGUUCUUCGAUGAUGUACGAAAAAGACGACGGUCGUCAUGCGUUCGCGCGACAACAAACAGCCUCGCUCACUCACGUGUAUCCUGGGACGAAACUCUGCGCGCGCGAGGAGGUCGACCCGUUCGUCUCGGUUCGAUUAUAAGGCCUCGGAGGAAUUGAGAAACUUGUCACGUCGCGCAAUUAAUUAAAACUUCCUCGCGCCCCUCCUCGUGCUUCUCGCUCUUAGAAUACAUUCUCUUUUGUGUUGUCCCGCCCGGAAAGGAUCAAUUUUCGAGCGCAUCAUUCCAGCAGCAGUUAUCUCUUGGGGUUGCAUUGUAGUCUCUGUACGAAUCGCGAGUCAGCUGUUCCGAUGGCGACACUUUGAGCAUUUGCCAAAGGUUAUCUGAUUUUUAUCUCCAUUAUCUGACACCGCGCCUCGCUAGCGUAUGCUCGCCGGCGCAAACACGACGAUCGAUACAUUUGUUCUUGGACUUCUUCCAAUACACGGGAGGCCGGGCGAUUCUCGUCGAACUUGACGCUCGUGCUAAAUCUCAGAUGUGUGCUGAAAAUUCUAACGGAGGUUCUUGGACGUCAGUUGACGAGGGAUUUGAAGUGAUGUAACAUCUACUUUGCUUUCCGGUUCAUCUGAAUAAAAAGUAAAGUGCGGUAGAAAUCGAAAGUACUCGGCGUAAUUGUUGGGAAAGUUCACUUUUACAUUGUCACGCUGCGUAUUUUUCCGCAAUUCUUCCAGUUCCCUAUCUCCCUUUGAAGGUCGCAGUUUCAAAUGUACUCUUUCGAGCCGUAAGUACGUGUGAUUCCAAAGCAAGCAUGUACAUUGGGUUCCAUUCGAUUUUCCGCUUUUUUUCCAUUUCACUACGUCAAUACAACGCCCGAAAUAGUAUUUUCGAGCCGUUAUAAUCGUCUCUCGUAAAAUUGAUUCACGAGUGAACAUCGUCUUGUGUCAGAAAUAUUUCUAACUUCUUUUCGAGAUAAAUGUAAUUUUCCGUAAAGGAUAUUGAAACGAUAAAAGUUGAAAAUGACGAGAAAGAGGCGUCAAUUAAGACUAGUGGGAUUCUCAGUUUGAUUCGGGUCUAAUAAUACGUGUGUUAUCGCGACAUGAGAAUCACACUGGCCGCGUUAGCGAAACCCGAUUACGAGCCGAGGUUACAUGACUGUGUUUUACGCUGUACAAACGCUGCUAAUGCAUACGCAAAGUGCGUUUAUCUGCUCCGCGGGAAUAAUCUUUCAUUAAAGGUGGCGAGCGCGCGUCGGGGGUAAAAAUAGUUGGCGUAUCCUUUGACGAAUACCACGCCGUGGUUUCAGGUCAGCGAAACGCCCACAAAGGAUUAAAGAAAAAAAAAUGUAGGAGAUAUUAUUAUUCGUCGCGUGAUUUUAUAUUCGCCCUAUAAAUAGCGCGCCAAAGAGCGGAAGAUGCGAGUUCGCUCAUAAAUGUGACUCUUAAAUAAUUACCGAGGAUAUAAAUCGAGUCCUCGAUACUAAGAGCGUAAGUUCACUCGAUCGAGUUCUCGGCAAAUUUCAAGAGAAAUAGGAGAAAAGGGUUAAUUUCUUAUCGCAAAGAUACAAAGUUUUCUUCACGCGUUGAGCCGUAAGUCGGUAGCAAAGUAUAACAAAGUAGUUUCGAAAAACAAGCGAAUGUUGUUUCAAUGUUUGGAUUAAUAAGGAGGUACAAGUUCGUGGACGGAAUUUUCAGCGAAGAAGUUUUCGAGCGAUCGCGCGAUUUUUGGUAAUAAGAUUUAUUCUCGCAGUGCGUUUCAAUGAACUUUCAAAAUCGUUCGCGACGAAAAUAUCCCCGCUUUGUGUUUCACUCACUGUUGCUUCUUCGACUGAUCCGAUUUUUCCCGGGUGAAAACGUCGGAAGUGGCUUUUCACUAUUUAACAUUAACGAUGCGAUCCGAACAGAAACUUCCUCGGACCAAAACGGACUCUUGGGUGCGUUGAUGGUCAACGGUGAUUUCGAGGACGACGAUGACGAGAUCCCGCUCUCCGGCGUACGCGGCGAUCGGUU